rnacentral:rRNA from 1 species
UACGAAGGGGGCUAGCGUUGUUCGGAAUUACUGGGCGUAAAGCGCACGUAGGCGGAUUGUUAGGUUAGGGGUGAAAUCCCGGGGCUCAACCCCGGAACUGCCUUUAAUACUGGCAAUCUCGAGUCCGAGAGAGGUGAGUGGAAUUCCGAGUGUAGAGGUGAAAUUCGUAGAUAUUCGGAGGAACACCAGUGGCGAAGGCGGCUCACUGGCUCGGUACUGACGCUGAGGUGCGAAAGCGUGGGGAGCGAACAGG